rnacentral:misc_RNA from 1 species
CCAAACUUGGUCAUUUAGAGGAAGUAAAAGUCGUAACAAGGUUUCCGUAGGUGAACCUGCGGAAGGAUCAUUAAAAGUGUCCCUCUUGGAACGCACAGCAACCGCACGUCAGCCAUCGUUCCCCGGCACGCUUCGGCACCAUUCGGGUAAGUCCGUCAUAAGCAGGGAACCGGUGCGGUGCGGUAUACGUGUCAACCCUCUGUGAAACUUAUAGAAUUUGCUUCGGCGGCACCUUUCGGGAAACCGUUCGGGUAAGGCCGUCAGAAGCCCACAACAAAACUAGUUUAUGAAAUGUCAUGCUGUCUGAUACUUUGCAAUUUGAGAAAUCAAAUAUUAUUAAAACUUUCAGCAACGGAUCUCUUGGUUCCCGCAUCGAUGAAGAACGCAGC